CCAAGCGCCGCACCCACGAACCUCCAGCAUCACCGCGUAUCUCCCUCACUCUCCAGCAAUAGCAGUUCAGAAAUUUGACAAUAACAACUCAGUCACAAGCUCUUAGCUGUCAAUCAGGCAGCCAAUCAGAUAGAAUUAACAAAUCUAGCCAAAAUACCCUAACUAGUACCACUGGGUAUCUCACAAUUAAUGAAAUAUUUCAAACGGCCAACCCAAACUACUGAUAAACCCAAACAACACCAAACAAUAUAAAAAAUUGGGAAUUGAUUUUUAAAUACCUCCACCGUUGUCCUAAUGAAGAAAACGGGAGUGAUAGCAGCGUAGAGAGGGAGACGGGCAUUUGACCAUGUGAGCAUGUGACCAUAUUCUAAUUGCAUGUGACCAUGAUAUGUGGUUUGUUUAUGUUAGGGUUGGUUGGGAAGGUAAUGCCCAUGAUAGGUGUGUAUUGAUGAAUGCUAUUUGCAGUAUUUCCAGUACCACCAGUUAGUAAGUAUUACGUAGUUGAUGCAGCGUAUAGACAAAUGCUAGAUUUUCCUUUCAAGAGUGGCUAGGGGGUAGAUCACAAAUUGCGCAUAAGGGAUUGUUUAAUCGCUGCCAUGCUUCGGUUCAAAACAUCAUAGAGAGGACAUUUUUUUGUGUCAAAAUCAUAGAGAUGACAUUUGAGGUAUGAAAAAUGCGAUUUAAAAUUUUGGAAGAUCCUAUGAAAAAUUACCCAAUUGAGGCACAGAAAAAUAUUGUACUGAUUUGCUAUGUACUAAACAAUUUCAUCAAGGAGAUGCAACCAUAUGACCACUACAUGAUGGAUCCAAAAGUCGCCCCUAGUAUGGAUUGGAGGUUCCGAAGAAGAUUAAGUGUCUCAAUUCCACGUGACACCAAAAGCGCUACGUGAUUGGAAGGAAUUUUGAAAUGUAAUGGCUGAUCAUAUGUAGCCGAAAUGAGUAGUUUACAUGGGCCUAUACCAAUUUUCACGCUUAAUAGUUGAUUCCUACUUAUCUUAGACCAGUUUUUUUUUUUUUUUUGUAUCAUAUAACUUUUGUGUGUUGGUCAAAUAUUUGUUAUGUAGGUAUUUAAGCCUUUUGAAUCUAAAAUGUUUAUCAAAUUCCUUGUCACUUCUAUGUGUACCUAAUCAUUUAUGCAACAUGGGUACAAGUGUCAUCAAUUAUUUUGGCAAUUACAAUAAUUUUCACAAUUAUUUGAGAUUGCAAUAUUUGUGAUAAAAUAUAUGAAAAACUACUCUGAAUAUUGUAUCAAAUAGUAUUGUUUUUUUUGCUACCGUAAAGUUUUGAAAAAAACUCUCACAGCACAAGAUUGUUUUUUUACAGAUUUCUAUAUGUUACAUUUCCUACUCAGCAAUUUAUUUGUACAUUUAAUCCCUUAAUGUAUCCUUAGCUCCUAAAUAGUCAAAUGAAUCUUUUGGGAAGAAUGCUUUCAACUCAAUUAAGGAUAUCUUUCAACUCUUUCCUUACAAAUAUAUACUAACAUUAUAAAAGAUUAACUAAAUUAAAGAUAUCUUUCAACUUUUCUGUACAAGUAUCUACUAACAUUAAAAAUUUUUAUAAAAAAAUACAUUAUAGUGACGUGAUGUUUGUCACUUAUAAAAGUAAUUAAAAAUAUAUAUAUAAUUUUUUGGCAAAAACUCGCAAUCCAAGCCAGGUCUUACUUUUGACAAGCGUCUAAAAAUCGAUGGUACAAAUUUAUUCAAAAUAAAUUAUUUUUACCAGUUCACAUAAAUUUGAUGGUAAUUUAGGUUUUGUUUGAAUUGCAAUUUUCUAGAGUUUUUAUCAAAAAAUGUACUUUAACGAUUUGAUAUAUGUGAGGUAAAAAAAUGAUUAGAAAAUAUGUUUAGACCUGUCAAUGGGCCGGGUCCGGGCCGAAAUUCAUAUAUCCGGACCCGGACCCGUUGUACUGCAUUAGUCCCGGAUUCAGCCCGAAUACCCGACGGGUUUUCAAUCUAUCUACCAGACCCGCACUCGACGGGUCUCGGGUCCGGGUCGGGCCUAUCUGUCAAAAAAAAUUCGUUAAAACCUGUUCAAAUAACACCUACAAAUGCAGUCUAAUUUUUAUCACAUUCACCUCUUAUAUUCAAAAGCAUGGCUAACCCCUCUCAGGAGUGACCCCGCGAAGGUUCCAAUAUGCAAUCCAAUCAAUAGUCUCACCACUAUCGGGGGGACUAUCAGCUAAAGAAAGGACUAGAAACAAAAAGGAGCAAAGACCAAGGUGAUGAAUAGUUUUUUUUAACAUCACCGCAGCUCAAAAGUUAAAUACUUUAAGUAGCUAAAUUUAGCUCUACAUGAUUCAACCUCCUCAUUAACACCAGAAAUUUUCAACUAGUAUUGCCAUCAAAGCACGAAAGAAACCUGCGGAAUUUUUUUUUUUUUGUUUUGAAAAAAAAGACACAUGCAACUGCAACAAUGCAUUAAACAUCUAAAAGAUAUCCUUUAAUUACAUCAAUUCGCAAAACCACCGCAUACCAUCCAACUACGAAGCCCUGAAGUACCAGAAUGAGUAACCAAAAAAUUUUUUUUUAACACCUUGGAAACAAAAAUUCAAAGUUCAUUUCACCAUAAUUAACAAAAGAAAACCACACUGAGAAGCAGUAACAACCAAAAUUGCACCACAAUCACAAAUAAAAACAAAAAGGGUCGGCAUAGAAAAUCAGCAAAAUUAGUAAAAAAGGAUGGCAUGUAAAUGGAAAAUUAGCAAAAGCUCCAAUUUUUUCAGCUUGCCAACAAUAUUAUUCCAAAUUGGGAGUGUUUGGAUACACAUAUUAUUCCAAAUAAUAUUUCGCUUGCAUCAUAAACAUAUUUUUCAACCCACCUUUUUAUAUUCCCAAUCAACUUUUUAUCUCACAAAAAGUGUUACAGUAAUUAUUCCAAAUAAUAUUUCAAAUAAUACUCUAUCCAAACAAACCAAAUGAAAUUUUCCCUCAAUUCGUCCAUUUGUUCCCAGGAAUUUCAUGAAUUGUGAAGGAUAAUCAAAACCCAUCACUGAAGUUUCAAUUUUUUUCCAGAAUUUAGGUCACACAAAUAACAAACUGCUACUCACAUGAAUUGUGAUGGACAGAGCUCGCCGGUUAAAUGGCGGACUGGUCAUUGGCGGAGCGGCAGAAAAGAGGGGAGAAUGAGACGGGAAGAGCUGGCCUUCUUUGGAGGCCAGACCUGACGGUUUCUUUGGAGCUGGAGAUGGAGAGAGUCAGAGAGCGUCGCCACUCGCCGGUUUCACGGCGGACUGGUCACUGGCGG
rnacentral:lncRNA from 1 species